GUGCCAUGAGUGUCUUCUAUGGAGUCACAUUUCCCUAACAUAUCAUUUGCCAAUAUUGAACCAUAUGGCCACGUCCUAGUUUCAAGGCCACUUGUUCAAGGAAAACAAGUGUCUGGAAUUUUUAGGAGAUGGGAGAUGAGUUGAACCAGAAAAGUGUGUAACCAAGAAUGUCUGCAUAUUGAGUACUGCUCCUCACUUUUGACGUCCACCAUGCAUCAACUCUACCUACAUUCUACCCCUGGCUACCUUAGACUCUGGAUAAAGAGGACCACCAGGCCCUGUGCUUUCUACCGAAAACUUGAUGCUCUAGGCCAGAAUUUCCAACUGCAAGCUCUAAGGAUUACUUAUCUUCGAAAAAUUAUUAAGGAAAAAAAGAGAGUUCAUAGUUAAUUCCUGUUCUCAAAAAUACAAUGGAAUAAAAGACAGCAGUCUUCAUUUUACAGAUGAACAAACUGAGACUUAAAGAAGGAACCAGUUUUCCCUUCAGAGAGACUCAACCAGCAGAGGAAAUGGUUCCCAGAACAGAGAGAGUAUGUCAUUAGCCAAGAACUCCAUCCAUCAAGAAAAGAAUGGACAACUGCAAAGGAAAUCCGUUCUGUAUAGAAGUGGGUUUAUUUCCACUGAUGAUUUUGCAAGCUUUCCCAACAACUGGUCAGAAGGAGAGGGUGGGGAUAGUUGUUUUUAAAGGUUGAGCUACAGCACUUUGUCUGAGGGGAGGCGAGUCCUCUGCCACUACCCUCACCAGCCUGCGGAAGGACUUGAGCAGGCUAUCUAUCUCUGGUGAGCUUUCUAUUCAGAAGCCCACACCCAGCAGAGAAAGCAUCAAGUAAAUGCCUGCGAAUUCACCAUUCCUCAUUGUCAACAUCCACCAUACACAGACCAUUGCCAGCGAGGAAAACCACUUUCCCAGUUCCUGAUCCGGCUCUGGAUUUGUGCACAGAAAUGUAAUGAUCAGCUUCCAGCUCUU